rnacentral:rRNA from 1 species
CCUACGGGUGGCAGCAGUGGGGGAUAUUGCACAAUGGGGGAAACCCUGAUGCAGCGAUGCCGCGUGAGGGACGAUGGUCUUCGGAUUGUAAACCUCUGUCUUUGGGGACGAAUUGAGACGGUACCCAAGGAGGAAGCUCCGGCUAACUACGAGACAGCAGCCGAGGUAAUACGUAGGGAGCAGGCGUUGUCCGGAAUUACUGGGUGUAAAGGGAGCGUUGGCGGGAAAGUAAGUGGAUUGUAAUACCUAUCGGCUCAAGUGGGAGGUGCGAUUAAAACUGCAAUUCUUGAGUGAAGUAGAGGCAGGCGGAAUGCGUAGUGUAGCGGUGAAAUGCGUAGAUAUUAGGCGGAACACCAGUUGCGAAGGCGGCCUGCGGGGCUUUAACUGACGCUGAGGCUCGAAAGUGUGGGUAGCAAACAGGAUUAGAUACCCCUGUAGUC